GAUAUUCUUUCAUAAAAACUUACAUCAUCUUUUUUGUUUUGAUAAAGAACAAGAAAGGAUGUUGCCUCUUUGGAGCAAUUCUGUCAUCUUUUCUAAGGUUGCUGAACAUAAUAAAACACAGGAUGUCCAGGUAAGUUUGAAUUUCAGAUAAACCGUGAGUAAGUUUUUAGUAGAAAUAUAUGUCCACAUAUUAUAUCAGACGUACUUCUACUAAAAAAUGAUCAAGUGGGGCGCUUGGGUGGCUGAGUCAGUUAAGCGUCUGGCUCUUGAUUCAGCUCAGGUCAUGAUCUCAGUGUCAUCGGAUCAAGCCCUGCAUUGGGCUCAAUGCUCAGCUCAGAGUCUGCUUGAGAGACAGAAUCUGAAGCAGACUCUGCACAGAGCCCAGUGCGGGGCUCAGUCCCAAGACCCUGAGCCGAAAUCAAGAGUUAGACACUUAAUGACUGAGCCACUCAGGUGCCCUGUUCUAAAUAUUUUUAAAGGACCAAUUCAUUUUUUAAAAAAUUUUAUUUACUUAUUUGACAGGGAGAGACAUGGUGAGAGAGGGUACACAAGC
rnacentral:lncRNA from 1 species